AAGGGCAGUGUUGUCAUGCCUUAGGUUAGACUACCUUGGCCUUGUUGAUCUUUGUAAUUUUUGUGCAGGUUCCUUGACUUCCGUUUGACUUGGACGAAGCUCCUCAGAUGUAGGUUGAUGUAUGCCAAUCUUCAAUAGACUCUUGUCCUUGGAAGACAUUUUGGUAAAAAAAAUGGUAGCGGAGUCUUGGUUUCGUAGUUUUUGGAAAAUUCCGCGGAGGCAUGAAGGAGGUUCUGAGAGAGUUGAAAUUGGAGUAUUAGCAUUUGAAGUUGCAAGCUUGAUGUCUAAGCUUGUGCAUCUAUGGCGGCGUCUAAGUGAUAAGCAGGUUAGUAGGUUGAGAGAGGAGAUCAUGACUUGUGUGGGGAUUAAGAAGCUGGUAUCUGAAGAUGAAGGUUACAUUGGACACUUGAUAUGUGUAGAAAUGAUUGAAACUGUUACACAUGUGGCGAAGUCCGUGGCUAGGCUUGCAAAGAAAUGUAGUGAUCCAGGUUUGAAGAGUUUUGAACUUGCUUUCACUGAGUUAGUCCAGAUUGGGGCUGACCCUUAUUGUUGGAUAUUUUCCUUAAAGAAAAUGGACAAGAAAGUGAAGAAGAUGGAACGGUACAUUUCAGUGAAUGCAACUUUGUAUCAGGAGAUGGAAAUGCUCCUGGAUCUUGAGCAAACUCUAAGGAGGAUGAAAGCCAGUGAUGCAGAGCCAGAGAAUUUGCUUGAAUUUCAGAAGAAGGUUAUGUGGAAGCAGCAUGAAGUGAAGAAUCUUCGGGAGAUGUCUCUUUGGAGUAGGACUUAUGAUUAUACAAUUCGACUUACAACAAGAUCAAUAUUCACAGUUUUUGUUAGUAUCAAACAUGUCUUUGGAAUUGAACAAAAUGUAGAUGAUGGAGAUUUGAGGGCAGCUUCUAUAAAUCGCUGCCAAUCAGUUUCCACCUUGAUGCAAUCUUCUGUUCAUCGCACUGAUAAUACUAGCCUUACCAGGUUUUCUUCUGGCCCCUUUGGAAUGUUUAGCACAAAAUCAGGCCCGAUUUCAAAACCAAAUAAAACAAAUUAUUUCCAUUCUGGGCCUCUUGGUGACUCAACUACAAAAUCAGGUUCUCUUGCUCGAAAGAAUGGAAAUUUCAACUUCCAUUCAGGUCCACUUGAGAGGUCUACAGCGAAGUCAGGGCAACUUUUGGGCAUGGAUAAGAUCAGCAAGAAGAUUUGGCAGACUAACAACCACCCUUCCGCUGCUAAUGGAAAAAAACCACAUUUGAAAAGCAAUAGAUUGACUCAAGUGGGACCUUUCAAAGGCUGCAUUAUAGAUGCAGAUGAUGCUAUUCAUUCAGGAAUUCUUAGUGGAAUCAAAGCCGGAAAUCUUAAUCCUCCUGAAGGAAAUGCUGUUCAAACUAGUUCGCUGGUGUUUAGAUCUCAGUGCAGGUUGUUGGAUGCUCCGCCUGAAACUCUUGCGGGUUCUGCUUUAGCACUGCACUAUGCAAAUGUUAUCAUUGUCAUUGAGAAGUUAGCAGCAUCUCCUCACUUGAUUGGUAAUGAUGCUAGAGAUGAUCUGUACAACAUGUUACCUGCAAGUGUGAGAGCUGCACUGAGGGCAAGGCUAAAACCAUAUGCAAAGAGCUUAACUUCAUCAGUUUUUGAUACAGAGCUUGCUGAAGACUGGACUGAGGCAAUGGCUGCAAUAUUAGAGUGGUUGGCGCCACUAGCUCAUAACAUGAUUAGAUGGCAAUCUGAGCGGAGUUUUGAACAGCAGAACUUUGUUUCUGGGACUAAUGCGCUUCUGGUUCAGACUCUCUACUUUGCAAACCGAGAAAAGACUGAAGCAGCAAUCAUCGAGAUUCUUGUUGGUCUGAAUUAUGUUUGGAGACUUGGUAGAGAACUCAAUGCAAAGGCUCUACAGGAGUGUGCAAGCAGUAGAAACUUUGAUGAAUGUUUGUAUCUAUAGAAAUAAGUGGACCACUAUUGCAGUAUGUCAAUAGAUGAAUGGAAUCUGAUUGAAUGUUGGCAAGUUCCCAUUUUCGGCAGGCAAUGGGGUUAUCUCCAUUCUAUUUGCCAACGUCGAUAGAAGAUGAAAGAAUUAUCCAACAUACCGUGAAAGACAUCAUAAAGCAUUCUUUGUGAGUCAGAGAAGCAGAUGUAAAUCAGGUUGCAUGGCCAGAAUCUGAGCUUGAAAAUAACCUUCUGACAGACAGGCUAUCACCUUACGGAGUUGCCCGCAAUGAAAUCACAGAAAGGUUUGAAUUGUUUUCGUAAAUGAUCUCACAUGGUAUAUUUCACUGAAUAUAAUGUUUGGUGAAGAGUUCUUAGUGAAUGGACAGACGUCAAUUUUGUUAAAGUACCAUGUCUAACACUCAUAUCUGACACAUUGAUAUAAAGAUAAGAUCUCCAAAGAUCCCCUGAAUACAUGGAAAACUGAAAAAAAUCAGACCAUAUUCGUGUUGGACGCAUACACUCAAGUCUGAGUAAAUAUAGCUGAUGAACAUCUGGUUUACGAAUAGUGUGAUUUGUAUUGCUUUAAGAAGAGAUUAACUUAGAGAGGGUGGCAUUAUUAUAUUCUUUGAGGCUGGAAAGCUCCUGUUGAUGUUGUCAUCUAUUGCCAUUCGUUUUACCCCUUGCCCUUUAUCAUGUAUUGUUUUUCCUAGAUAUCAGUUGGUCAUUAGAGCUGAGGUUAUUUGUGCAUUUAAGAUGAAAAAACACGACAUUUUAAACAUUAUUAGCCAGGGUAAAUAGUAUUUUAUUUGUGUUUUGACAUCUUUAAUAAUUUGGAGCUUGUUUAUGUUCGAAAAAAUUGAAAAGAAUAAGCAUGACAGCUUGAAUUGCCUGCUUUUUCUUUUUAGUUCUUAAUAUAUGCAGUAAUUGGAGAAUAGAAUGUUAAAUGAAA